ACCAGACUCCUACGGGAGGCAGCAGUGGGGGAUAUUGCACAAUGGGGGGAACCCUGAUGCAGCGAAGCCGCGUGGGUGAAGAAGCGCCUCGGCGCGUAAAGCCCUGUCAGCAGGGAAGAAAAUGACGGUACCUGAAGAAGAAGCCCCGGCUAACUACGUGCCAGCAGCCGCGGUAAUACGUAGGGGGCAAGCGUUAUCCGGAUUUACUGGGUGUAAAGGGGGCGCAGACGGCGAUGCAAGCCAGGAGUGAAAGCCCGGGGCCCAACCCCGGGACUGCUCUUGGAACUGCGUGGCUGGAGUGCAGGAGGGGCAGGCGGAAUUCCUAGUGUAGCGGUGAAAUGCGUAGAUAUUAGGAGGAACACCAGUGGCGAAGGCGGUCUGCUGGACAGCAACUGACGCUGAGGCGCGAAAGCGUGGGGAGCAAACAGGAUUAGAUACCCGAGUAUUG
rnacentral:rRNA from 1 species